GAUGAAGAACGUAGCGAAAUGCGAUAAUUAAUGUGAAUUGCAGAAUUCCGUGAAUCAUCGAGUCUUUGAACGCACAUUGCGCCUCAUGGCAUUCCGUGAGGCAUGCCCAUCUCAGCGUUAGAAAAUAUUCUCAAAUUUUAGUUUUGUGCUAAAAUUUGGAUCAUGUCAAGGAAGCUAUUACUAUUAUUGUGAUCGCUCUUUGGAAAUUGAUAGGUCUUUGAGUUGCUACUCAUAGAACGUGAUGAAUCUUUCUUCGUUCUAUUGUAAUUCACUCUGGUAGUCCUAAAGCUUGUAUGCCUGUGGCAUAUCUUGUAAUUUGACCUGAGAUUGGGUAGGGAUACCCGCUGAACUUAAGCAUAUCAAUAAGCGGAGGA
rnacentral:misc_RNA from 1 species